UUCCGUAGGUGAACCUGCGGAGGGAUCAUUACUGAGUUUACGCUCUAUAACCCUUUGUGAACAUACCUAUAACUGUUGCUUCGGCGGGUAGGGUCUCCGCGACCCUCCCGGCCUCCCGCCUCCGGGCGGGUCGGCGCCCGCCGGAGGAUAAACCAAACUCUGAUUUAACGACGUUUCUUCUGAGUGGUACAAGCAAAUAAUCAAAACUUUUAACAACGGAUCUCUUGGUUCUGGCAUCGAUGAAGAACGCAGCGAAAUGCGAUAAGUAAUGUGAAUUGCAGAAUUCAGUGAAUCAUCGAAUCUUUGAACGCACAUUGCGCCCGCCAGCAUUCUGGCGGGCAUGCCUGUUCGAGCGUCAUUUCAACCCUCAAGCUCUGCUUGGUGUUGGGGCCCUACAGUUGAUGUAGGCCCUCAAAGGUAGUGGCGGACCCUCCCGGAGCCUCCUUUGCGUAGUAACUUUACGUCUCGCACUGGGAUCCGGAGGGACUCUUGCCGUAAAACCCCCCAAUUUUCCAAAGGUUGACCUCGGAUCAGGUAG
rnacentral:rRNA from 1 species